rnacentral:rRNA from 1 species
AUUGAACGCUGGCGGCAGGCCUAACACAUGCAAGUCGAGCGGAUGAAGGGAGCUUGCUCCUGGAUUCAGCGGCGGACGGGUGAGUAAUGCCUAGGAAUCUGCCUGGUAGUGGGGGAUAACGUCCGGAAACGGGCGCUAAUACCGCAUACGUCCUGAGGGAGAAAGUGGGGGAUCUUCGGACCUCACGCUAUCAGAUGAGCCUAGGUCGGAUUAGCUAGUUGGUGGGGUAAGGGCCUACCAAGGCGACGAUCCGUAACUGGUCUGAGAGGAUGAUCAGUCACACUGGAACUGAGACACGGUCUAGACUCCUACGGGAGGCAGCAGUGGGGAAUAUUGGACAAUGGGCGAAAGCCUGAUCCAGCCAUGCCGCGUGUGUGAAGAAGGUCUUCGGAUUGUAAAGCACUUUAAGUUGGGAGGAAGGGCAGUAAGUUAAUACCUUGCUGUUUUGACGUUACCAACAGAAUAAGCACCGGCUAACUUCGUG